rnacentral:siRNA from 1 species
CUAAUGAAUGUUAAAAGGAUUGGU